rnacentral:rRNA from 1 species
UUAGAUACUGGUAUAAAUGAUUAAACACUGAUUCUUUUUACUUAAUUGUAUAAAUUUUAAUUUAGAGUUUCAGUAAAAAUACUGAAAUAGCUUAAAAAGACGAUAAGACCCUAAAAGCUUUAUUAAAUUUUUUAAAAUAACUUUAUAAUUGUUUUAUUAAUAUUUUUUUACUGGGGUAGUGUUUUUAUUAAUUAUUUAUUUUUAUAACUUUUAGAUUUUUUAUUCCUUAAUAUUAAGGGUUAGUUAAGUUACUUUAGGGAUAACAGCGUAAUAAUAAUGGAAAGAACUUAUUUAUAUUAUUGAUUACGACCUCGAUGUUGAAUUAGUUAUUCUUCUUAAAGCAGCAUUUAAGUAAGAAGGUUUGUUCAACCUUUAAA